UACGUAGGGGGCGAGCGUUGUCCGGAAUCAUUGGGCGUAAAGCGCGUGUAGGCGGCCCGGUAAGUCCGCUGUGAAAGUCCAGGGCUCAACCCUGGGAUGCCGGUGGAUACUGUCGAGCUCGAGUCCGGAAGAGGCGAGUGGAAUUCCUGGUGUAGCGGUGAAAUGCGCAGAUAUCAGGAGGAACACCAAUGGCGAAGGCAGCUCGCUGGGACGUGACUGACGCUGAGGCGCGAAAGCGUGGGGAGCGAACAGG
rnacentral:rRNA from 1 species